AACACUCCUAGUGUUCUCUGCGGUUUGUUGUAGCAUCAGAGUGUCUUGGCAACCAAAGGCAGAGCUGGUGCUAUGGAGGACCUGCUUACUGCUAUGAGGUAUUACUUUAUGCAGGUCCUGGAGAAGCUGAUUGAGGCCAAGUCACUGUUGCAAGGAGACACGAGACUCACAUCAGAGUUCUAUGGCUUAACAUGGGAGAUGGUGUGAAAAGAACCAGAGAUCCUUGGGGAAAUGUCUGAUUCUAAGAUAUUUCUAAGGCUGGUGAAAAUAUGUAAGAGAAGCCUGGAGAAGAACCAGUAAUACCAGAAAUCAAGGAGGGGCCCUGAAGAGAAAAGGAUAACAAAAGGAUGAAGACCUGUCCAAGGGACCCAGCAGCCAACAUGAAAGAGCUCUCAAUGGGGAAAGCUGGAGCAAUUUCAACAACAAAAUAAAUAAUAUGUCACUGGAUUAUAACCUGAAGUAUAAAAAGUAUGAGUCCAUACUGUUACAAAUAAAUGACUGAAUAAAUACAUAAAUGAGACGAA